rnacentral:lncRNA from 12 species
UUUCAACAAGGUGGCCGGUCGGGGUUAAUCCAGAAGUGAUAUUAUGGAAUGGGAAGCCUAUUUGUGAUGGGAAUGGAGAACUUAUGUUUAAUGGGCACCUGCUGGGGGAUAGUCACAGUAUUGGAUGACACACACACUUCUGUACGUGUAUGUAUUGGGUAUAUACUAGAUGACAUACAAAAUAUUUA